rnacentral:rRNA from 1 species
AUUGAACGCUGGCGGCAUGCUUUACACAUGCAAGUCGAACGGCAGCGCGGGCUUCGGCCUGGCGGCGAGUGGCGAACGGGUGAGUAAUAUAUCGGAACGUACCCAAGAGUGGGGGAUAACGUAGCGAAAGUUACGCUAAUACCGCAUACGAUCUAAGGAUGAAAGCAGGGGAUCGCAAGACCUUGUGCUCCUGGAGCGGCCGAUAUCUGAUUAGCUAGUUGGUGAGGUAAAGGCUCACCAAGGCAACGAUCAGUAGCUGGUCUGAGAGGACGACCAGCCACACUGGGACUGAGACACGGCCCAGACUCCUACGGGAGGCAGCAGUGGGGAAUAUUGGACAAUGGGCGAAAGCCUGAUCCAGCAAUGCCGCGUGAGUGAUGAAGGCCCUAGGGUUGUAAAGCUCUUUUACCAGGGAUGAUAAUGACAGUACCGGGAGAAUAAAGCUCCGGCUAACUCCGUGCCAGCAGCCGCGGUAAU